AGCUCCAAUAGCGUAUAUUAAUGUUGUUGCAGUUAAAAAGCUCGUAGUUGGAUUCCUGGCCUGGGGUAGCCGGUCCGCCUUGCAAAAGGUGCGCACUGAGCGGCCUCGGCCAUCCUUGGGAAGAGCAGUCCUGGCAUUCAGUUGUCGGGGUUGGGAUUCCCGACGUUUACUGUGAAAAAAUCAGAGUGUUCAACGCAGGCUUACGCCUUGAAUACAUUAGCAUGGAAUAAUGAGAUAGGACCUUGGCGGUCUAUUUUGUUGGUUUGCACGCCGAGGUAAUGAUUAAAAGGGACGGUUGGGGUUCUUCGUAUUCAAUUGUCAGAGGUGAAAUUCUUGGAUUUAUGGAAGACGAACUGCUGCGAAAGCGUCGAACAAGGACGUUC
rnacentral:rRNA from 1 species